UCAAAAAUAAUUUAAAAUAAAAAUCUCGUCCCCACAAGACCACAAAUAAGGGUCAAUCCCUUUUUUUGAA
rnacentral:tRNA from 1 species